rnacentral:rRNA from 1 species
GACGAACCGUCCUAACGUUGUUCGGAAUCACUGGGCUUAAAGGGCGCGUAGGCGGCUUGCCAAGUCAGGGGUGAAAUCCUGCAGCUUAACUGUAGAAGGGCCUUUGAUACUGGCGAGCUCGAGGGAGGUAGGGGUAUGUGGAACUUCCGGUGGAGCGGUGAAAUGCGUUGAUAUCGGAAGGAACGCCGGUGGCGAAAGCGACGUGCUGGACCUCUUCUGACGCUGAGGCGCGAAAGCUAGGGGAGCAAACGGG